GAUGAACGCUGGCGGCGUGCUUAACACAUGCAAGUCGAACGAUGAAGCUCAGCUUGCUGGGUGUAUUAGUGGCGAACGGGUGAGUAACACGUGAGUAACCUGCCCUUAACUCUGGGAUAAGCCUGGGAAACUAGGUCUAAUACCGGAUAGGAGCGCCUACCGCAUGGGGGGUGUUGGAAAGAUUUAUCGGUUUUGGAUGGACUCGCGGCCUAUCAGCUUGUUGGUGAGGUAAUGGCUCACCAAGGCGACGACGGGUAGCCGGCCUGAGAGGGUGACCGGCCACACUGGGACUGAGACACGGCCCAGACUCCUACGGGAGGCAGCAGUGGGGAAUAUUGCACAAUGGGCGGAAGCCUGAUGCAGCGACGCCGCGUGAGGGAUGACGGCCUUCGGGUUGUAAACCUCUUUCGGUAGGGAAGAAGCGAGAGUGACGGUACCUGCAGAAGAAGCACCGGCUAACUACGUG
rnacentral:rRNA from 1 species